UACGUAGGGGGCAAGCGUUGUCCGGAUUUAUUGGGCGUAAAGAGCGUGUAGGCGGCUAGGUAGGUCCGUUGUGAAAACUCGAGGCUCAACCUCGAGACGCCGGUGGAAACCAUCUAGCUAGAGUCCGGAAGAGGAGAGUGGAAUUCCUGGUGUAGCGGUGAAAUGCGCAGAUAUCAGGAAGUACACCCGUGGCGAAGGCGGCUCUCUGGUACGUGACUGACGCUGAGACGCGAAAGCGUGGGGAGCGAACAGG
rnacentral:rRNA from 1 species